rnacentral:rRNA from 1 species
CCUAGGGGGGCUGCAGUGGGGAAUAUUGGACAAUGGGGGCAACCCUGAUCCAACCAUGCCGCGUGUGUGAAGAAGGCCCUCGGGUUGUAAAGCACUUUCAGUGAGGAAGAACGCCUGGUGGUUAAUACCCAUCAGGAAAGACAUCACUCACAGAAGAAGCACCGGCUAACUCCGUGCCAGCAGCCGCGGUAAUACGGAGGGUGCGAGCGUUAAUCGGAAUUACUGGGCGUAAAGCGCGCGUAGGUGGCUUGAUAAGCCGGUUGUGAAAGCCCCGGGCUCAACCUGGGAACGGCAUCCGGAACUGUCAAGCUAGAGUGCAGGAGAGGAAGGUAGAAUUCCCGGUGUAGCGGUGAAAUGCGUAGAGAUCGGGAGGAAUACCAGUGGCGAAGGCGGCCUUCUGGACUGACACUGACACUGAGGUGCGAAAGCGUGGGUAGCAAACAGGAUUAGAUACCCGAGUAGUC